UACGAAGGGGGCUAGCGUUGCUCGGAAUCACUGGGCGUAAAGGCGCACGUAGGCGGUCUUACUUAAGGUACAGGGGUCGAAAGUCCUGGAGCUCAACUCCAGAACUGCCCUUGAUACUGGACGGUCUCGUAGUCCGGGAGAGGUGAGUGGAACUGCGAGUGUAGAGGUGAAAUUCGUAGAUAUUCGCAAGAACACCAGUGGCGAAGGCGGCUCACUGGCCCGGUACUGACGCUGAGGCACGAAAGCGUGGGGAGCAAACAGG
rnacentral:rRNA from 1 species